GCCUAUAUCUCCACGGGGCCGGAUGCCCUUCCAACCCAUGUCUAUGCGGAUCCUAUUGAGAUGACCAUGAAAGAGCUCAACGGGGUUGAUCCCUUCGUUGAUAUGGACAAAAGGUUUAUCUGUUCUGUCACAGUUGACAUAAUAUGUACUGACCAGCGUUGGUGGUUUGCUUCAUGCAAACGAUUUCACAAGUCUGCUAAGCAUGAUGGCUACCAAUACCAAUGCUCAGGCGCAACAUGCGACUCUGUUAAAGCUGAUCUAGCGUAUUGUGUUUC